CCUCAAGUGAUGUGUGACGACCCCUGAAUUUAAGCAUACACCAUGUGUCCCUGAUAUUUUGCAGUUCACA
rnacentral:rRNA from 1 species